AUGGAACAUUCCACCCAAGAGCAGCAACCAGGAAAUAAGCAGGAGAGAGAAACCCAAGGGAAAAUCUUUAUCAGUGUGAUGCCUCAUGGGCCUUGUAGUCCUGUUCCUAGUGCCAUCGUGACAGAUGAAGACGAAAACAUGGGGUUUUCGCCGGUUCAACAAGAGCCGGAAUCUUUUCACCUGCCGGAUGUUGAUGUUUGUACCCAAGAACUCAGUAAAACAGACCUUGGGCAUUCCUCGCCCCCGUUCCCUAGGAGACAGUCCUAUUCUGCAGACAGAGGAGUGAGGGAACAGAAUCGCAGGAGUUUACGGAUUGCAGCCAAACAACAGGCUGAUUAGACCUGCUUCCCUUGGGAAAUUCUAAGGAGUCUUGCAUCUGGACAAAGUUGGGUUUCGUUUCCCGUUCUCUAGGGAAAGAGGUUGCUGGUGGGAAAACGAGACCCCGAUAUAGGUGCCUGACACGGGAGAAUUAUUGCGGAGUCAACAGAGCAGCUUCAGGAGUAAGAUCGUGUUUGGACUUCGCAACCCCAGUUCCUUGUUUUCCGGAUCAAGUAUUCAAGUUUUGCCUUGCCUUGUUUUUUAACCACGGACCUUGUUCAAGUAUCACUGUUUGCCUUGCUCCUAGUCACGGACCUUGUUUAAAGAAUCAAGAUUGUAUCCAGCCUUGUUGUCAAGCUGCCUAGGACUCCUAAGACACUGGCAUUUCCCCACACUAUUGCUUGGCAAUAGUGUGUGUUUCGGUUAUUGGAUUAAAACUUUGAACUCUAAUAUCAUUUAUUGGACAAUACAUUUUUGGACUAUAUUUGACCUCAUUUGAAAGGUCUGCUUCUGAACUAUAUUCUUCACUUGUUUUUAUUACUUUUAUAUAUUUACUUAAUAAAGAUAUUAGAUAGAAAUUGGCCUCCGUGUAUGGUUCUUGGUGCCCCGCUGCCUUGGGUCUGACAAUCAGAGAAAUGUGAUAUGUUAAGGGGUGUAUCACAAAUACUUACUCAUCUCUUUUGAUUUGACACAACAAACAUCUACUUCCAAUCAAUCCAGAAUUUUUAUUUGUGAUAAGCAGCAAUGUUUUUAUUCUAAAAUAAUAAUUUAAUUUAUCAAUGAAUUUUCACAUCCUCCACCCUCAAUUCUUUCCCUACUUCUUCUGUUUUUCUUAAAUUUUCAUGCUUUUCAUCAGUUGAUUUUUUCUAACAGUAGACCACCCUGGAAAAAAUAAUAGAUUGCAUAUCAUGCACUAACUCUUCACAUCCAUUUUGAAAAGCAUAAAUUCAGACAAAUAUUUGGAAUUAGGCAGUUUCUUAAACUGUGGGUCCUGGCCCCCAAUGGGAUCAUGAAAAAUAUGGAAACAGUAAAAGGUUUCUUAAUGCCACCUAGACAUUUACACAAAUCUGUUAGCAACAACUUGCAGCAAUUUCAAUGGACUCUGCAGAAAAUGCACAAAAGAAAAAUCUGCCUGUUUAGCAAGCAUUGAAAAUUAUGAUUUAUCAGCAAAUGUUUAAUUUGUAUACCGAUUUAUAUACUUAUAUACUCAGGUCAUGUGCACAUUUCUUGAUUGAACAGGGGCCAUAUGUAGAAACAGUUUGAGAAGCCCUGGUAGAUGUUCUCAUUUCAAAAUGGCAGUGUUUUCCAUUCUUUUUCUGCUGUGAUGAUAUGGUGGUGAGAGACAGUGCAUUGCAUGGUAUAAGUGUUGGACAAUAACUUUGGAUCUAAGAGUUUGAAUCUCCACUCAGCCAUGGAAACCUAGUAGGUGAUGUUGGACAAGUCAUACUCUCAACUUCAGAGGAAGGUGAAGAAGAAGAAGCCACCUUUUCUCUCUUAAAAUAGACUCAAAGUGUCUAGCAAUGCUAAAAACAAUACAAUUUGUAAUGUAAAACCUAAGAAAUAUAAACACUAAAAUACAAUUAAACAUAAAGGUAUUAAAUUAAAUAUUUAAAACAAAACUCU
ensembl:lncRNA